GACGAACGCUGGCGGCGUGCUUAACACAUGCAAGUCGAACGGAAAGGCCCCCACUUUUUUGGUGGGGGUGCUCGAGUGGCGAACGGGUGAGUAACACGUGGGUGAUCUGCCCUGUACUUCGGGAUAAGCUUGGGAAACUGGGUCUAAUACCGGAUAGGACCAUGGUUUAGUGUCUCAUGGUGGAAAAAUUAUUGUUUUGGUGCAGGAUGAGCUCGCGGCCUAUCAGCUUGUUGGUGGGGUAAUGGCCUACCAAGGCGUCGACGGGUAGCCGGCCUGAGAGGGUGGACGGCCACAGUGGGACUGAGAUACGGCCCAGACGCCUACGGGAGGCAGCAGUGGGGAAUAUUGCACAAUGGGCGCAAGCCUGAUGCAGCGACGCCGCGUGGGGGAUGACGGCCUUCGGGUUGUAAACUCCUUUCGUUAGGGACGAAGCCGCACCUUUUUUGGGUGUGGUGACGGUACCUUUGUGAAGAAGCACCGGCUAACUACGUG
rnacentral:rRNA from 1 species